GGGGUACUGUAAGUGGUAGAGUAGCCUUGUUGCUACGAUCCACUGAGGUUAAGCCCUUGUUCUAAAGAUUUGUUCAACUUUGUUGGACUUUCUCUUUUCUUUUUACAUGCUGAAACCUUGAGGGCCGGGAUAGUAUCCUUUGUGCACUCGCGACAGCAUGUUACUUGCGUUCGAACGGGUAAGCUAACAACGCCUUGGUGUUUUUGUUACCUUUCUCGUUUGAAUCAUGAGUUAUUAUGAGCCUUGAAGGCUUAGAAGGAACUUGGUUAGCAAGCUCUAAACGCGCGCUGACUUGGAACGGUCUUUACCUUGUACUUGAUAUCGACCUUAUGGCCGAUAUCCCGCAUAUGGUAUAGCCAAGAUCCUUGAAAGAGCGAGUUAAUAAGUGAUUUGCUGGAUCGUUAGUGAGCUUGAAUGCCUGCCCUAAGGUUGCCAUGAAUGAAAUGGCCUUAGGAGCUAAGUAAGCUAAGCUACGGUUACCUUUCUAGCCGUUGUAACCGUUUACUUAGCUUCUAGGGCUACGUUCAAACUUUGAACGGCAACUGGUCCUGAAUCGAAAGGUUUGCUAUGUAAACCUUUAGUCAAGACCUGUUUGCAACAAAUUUGGUGGCUGCAGGGCGAGUUUUCAUUGAUUUGGCCUAUAGCGAAAGUUGGU
rnacentral:misc_RNA from 1 species